rnacentral:rRNA from 1 species
UACAUGUGGGGCAAGCGUUGUUCGGAAUUACUGGGCGUAAAGGGCUCGUAGGCGGCCAACUAAGUCAGACGUGAAAUCCCUCGGCUUAACCGGGGAACUGCGUCUGAUACUGGAUGGCUUGAGAUUGGGAGAGGGAUGCGGAAUUCCAGGUGUAGCGGUGAAAUGCGUAGAUAUCGUAAGGAAGACCAGUGGCGAAGGCGGGUCUCUGGACAGUUCCUGACGCUGAGGCACGAAGGCCAGGGGAGCAAACGGG